rnacentral:ncRNA from 10 species
AUCGUUCAAUCUGUAUUAACAGAUCGGAAGUAGGCUAAAGCUGAAGGAACGCGGA